rnacentral:rRNA from 1 species
AGUGAACGCUGGCGGCAGGCCUAACACAUGCAAGUCGAGCGGCAGCGCGGGGGCAACCCUGGCGGCGAGCGGCGGACGGGUGAGGAAUUCGUCGGAAUCUGCCUUUUUGUGGGGGAUAACGUAGGGAAACUUACGCUAAUACCGCAUACGUCCUACGGGAGCAAGUGGGGGACCGCAAGGCCUCACGCAGAAAGAUGAGCCGACGACCGAUUAGCUAGUUGGUGGGGUAAAGGCCCACCAAGGCGACGAUCGGUAGCUGGUCUGAGAGGAUGAUCAGCCACACUGGGACUGAGACACGGCCCAGACUCCUACGCGAGGCAGCAGUGGGGAAUAUUGGACAAUGGGCGCAAGCCUGAUCCAGCCAUGCCGCGUGUGUGAAGAAGGCCUUCGGGUUGUAAAGCACUUUUGUCCGGAAAGAAAUCCCUGGAGCUAAUACCUUCGGGGGAUGACGGUACCGGAAGAAUAAGCACCGGCUAACUUCGUG